GGCGGAGCUCACGUCGAAUAAAAAUUGUUUUCUAUCCUAAAGUUCAUCUUUCACUGUAUACAGCUGUAUGAAUAUGAUCUAUUAAUGCUUUUUAAAUACAGGGCAUCAACAAUUAGCCAUUAAAGAGCAACUCUAAUGUGGUUAAUUAUUAUACUUCUAAUAAAUACGUUUUAAAUAGUGCGCCAUGAGCUGAGGCAGUGAACUGGCGCAAGCGCAACCGACGGACGUGGUGCUAGAAUGCUAGUUGUUUCGUGCUGUUCGUGCUGCCCUGGUGCUACAAACAUGGUGCAAUCACGUGUAAUCGGCAUUUGCUUUGCGUGAAGCACGUGGUUCAGAGAUAAGAUGAUUCGUCCAUUUUCACAUGUGGAUAAACUUUCAUUGCAAAAGUGUUUUCUCUGGGCAGAAAUCUUCGGGAAUGGCCCAUAUUAUUUAUUAGCAGAUUCCAGUUUCUCGAGAGAGAAUUAUUGGUUGUAGAAGUGCUCCAAAAGGAGAUUUAAUACAGCUCAGCGCAAUUUAAUGUGGUUUAUCCAGGAAGCGAAAGAUUUGUCCGUUCUGAAGUAUCUGUUCUGUCAUCGACGAAAUGCAUUCAUGGAACGACGGUCUUCCGAAGUGUUACAUUUCUGAUCAGGAAUCGCAAUAGCUUAGAAUUCAUCGCCCAACGUGGAUUUUGCAAAAUAGUCAUUUCAAAAUUCAGAAAAAUGAUAGGUAUCACAUGAUUGAGCCACUUGCAAAAAAGAAAAUAAUAAUUUCUGAUUGGGCACCAUACAAGGAUGAGAAGAAAUAUUACUAUGAGAUUUAACGACAAUCGCAAUCAUCCAAACAAUAACUCCAUUUUCGACUUCAGAGAUGUGAUUAUGAAAAUAAAGGUAUGAAUCAUGUGAAUAAAAUCAGAUGCAAGUAACGAGAAAAUUAAUUUCUGACGGAAUAAAAUACAAGAAUGAGAAGAAAUGUUACACUGACGAUAGUUGCAAUAAAAACAGUUGAAUCAUUCAAACAAUAACUUUAUUUUCUGUCUUGAGGGAUACAAUUAAGGUUUCUCUUUUUGGAUAAAAACUUAUUGGUUCUACGUCUUUAAAAAGUGAUUCAGCGAAUUUGGUACUUGGUCCACUUGCUGUCACCGUGAAAGCGUAUUCUCCGGAAUGGGAACCUUGGGAGUGGCCCAUACCAGAAGAGGAGGAAUUCGUCUGCAUGGAAAUAUCAAAGAGGAUAUUCUGUCACCGGUUAAGGAUCUACAGGAUUGGCCUGUUUCAGGAGAGGAGGAAUUCGUCUGCUUGUGCCGUCACCCUACAUGGAGAGAAAUAUUAGAGCAGCACGAUUUUUCAAUUCUUUUUUACUUCCCUGUACGAAAAUCUACAGCAAUGACCUAUUUUAGGAAGAAAUUCUAAUAGACCGAUGAUAAUUUCCCUUCGAAAAAUAUGAGUAAUAUAUUAAAGCCAAUUAUAAGCAAGGGAAAUAUUAUUUCCUGACUGAAUGUUUUGAAAGAAUGAAAAGAAAACUGACAAAGAGAUUCAACGACAGUCGGAGUCAUAAAAAACGAAAAGUUCAAUUUCUGUCUUGCGGAAUAAUCUCUGACAAUUACAAGCAAUUCUUAUAGACCGAUGAUAAUUUUCCUUCGAUUCCCGUUUCUGGAGAGACAAUUGUAGGUUACAGAGUUGUUUCAGGAGGUGACUUAAUACAGCUAAGCGAAUAACAAUU